GUGCCAGCAGCCGCGGUAAUACGGAGGGGGUUAGCGUUGUUCGGAAUUACUGGGCGUAAAGCGUACGUAGGCGGAUCAGAAAGUUGGGGGUGAAAUCCCGGGGCUCAACCCCGGAACUGCCUCCUAAACUCCUGGUCUUGAGUUCGAGAGAGGUGAGUGGAAUUCCAAGUGUAGAGGUGAAAUUCGUAGAUAUUUGGAGGAACACCAGUGGCGAAGGCGGCUCACUGGCUCGAUACUGACGCUGAGGUACGAAAGUGUGGGGAGCAAACAGGAUUAGAUACCCUGGUAGUCCACACCGUAAACGAUGAAUGCCAGUCGUCGGGCAGUAUACUGUUCGGUGACACACCUAACGGAUUAAGCAUUCCGCCUGGGGAGUACGGUCGCAAGAUUAAAACUCAAAGGAAUUGACGG
rnacentral:rRNA from 1 species